GACGACCGCUGGCGGCGUGCCUAAUACAUGCGAGUCGAGCGGACGAAUCGAAAGCUUGCUUUUGAUUCGUUAGCGGCGGACGGGUGAGUAACACGUGGGCAACCUGCCCUGUAGACGGGGAUAACACCGAGAAAUCGGUGCUAAUACCGGAUAACACGAAAUGUCGCAUGACGUUUCGUUGAAAGACGGCGCAAGCUGUCGCUACAGGAUGGGCCCGCGGCGCAUUAGCUAGUUGGUGAGGUAACGGCUCACCAAGGCGACGAUGCGUAGCCGACCUGAGAGGGUGAUCGGCCACACUGGGACUGAGACACGGCCCAGACUCCUACGGGAGGCAGCAGUAGGGAAUCUUCCGCAAUGGACGAAAGUCUGACGGAGCAACGCCGCGUGAGCGAAGAAGGCCUUCGGGUCGUAAAGCUCUGUUGUUAGGGAAGAACAAGUAACGCAGUAACUGGCGUUACCGUGACGGUACCUAACGAGAAAGCCACGGCUAACUACGUG
rnacentral:rRNA from 1 species